rnacentral:rRNA from 1 species
UACGGGGGGGGCAAGCGUUGUUCGGAAUUACUGGGCGUAAGGGGCUCGUAGGCGGCCAACUAAGUCAGACGUGAAAUCCCUCGGCUUAACCGGGGAACUGCGUCUGAUACUGGAUGGCUUGAGUUUGGGAGAGGGAUGCGGAAUUCCAGGUGUAGCGGUGAAAUGCGCAGAUAUCAGGAAGAACACCUAUGGCGAAGGCAGCUCUCUGGGACGGUACUGACGCUGAGACGCGAAAGCGUGGGGAGCGAACAGG